CCGGGAGCACUAGGGGGCGAGACAGGGCGGGUCUCGCAGGGGCCGGGGGAAAGUCCCGCUUAGCUUCCGUUCCUCCCCCUGGCUGAGCUCUCAAGCGGCUCCCUCACCCCGCCUGUGACCCUUUCCAUUGCUGCUGUCAAAAACACGAGGUCGGAGUUGCCGCUGCUGUUCUGCCCGCACCAGCAGGCACUAGGCGGGUGAAGGCAGAGACGUUGUGUUUCGCUCGGCGGGGUGAGGGAAGGUGACAUCUAGCAUCGGCGCCGCAAAUAACCCAUCCCGGGCAAGCUUUAUUAUUGGGACCCCCGGAGGCAGCUUCUUCACUUGUGUAACGCAGCCCGGCUUUCACCCUUGGUCCACUUUGAAAUUCGACACCCCACCCCGAGGCCAAACCAAGACCGGGUUGGUUGCUCUUUAAAUAGAAGAUUGGAGUUUUGCUUUUAAAUUGUGCCAGAAUCAAAGUUGACCAGUUCAUAAACAUUGUUUUUAUUCGGAGACAAAACGUAUGUGACAUUUCAAAACAAAUGGCCUACAAGCAUCAUCUACCUCUUCAGUCAGUAAAUCAUCUGUGAGAAUAGAGGAACGUAGGAACUGCUAUAUUGAUCAGACCAGUCUGUCUAAUCCAGUAUCUUGGCUCUACCAGAGAAUGGUGCAGAAAUCCCUACAAUGAACUGCUAUGGAAUAACCUAUUCAUAGAACUUUCCUCCUAAUCCUCCUAUACCAGUUAGUAGUUGACUUACAACCUUAACCAUGAAGUUUUUUUAUCCCCUAUAAUUUUUUUUAUCCUAUCUAAAGUAAUUGUGGAUGUUCUCAUUAUUCAUAUAAAUGUCUUAUCCUUUUUUACAAUAUUACUUAGUUCUUAGGACACAAUCCAACCAGUUCCACUGGUAACUUUAUAUGUUGUAUUAAAAGUGUUUACCAGUUUUAAAUUUGUUGCCUUUCAGUUACUUUUAUUUGAUUAUGAAUAAGGAUAAAUUGGAGCACCUAAUAAACCUCCUUUAUAUUUUAA